AAACGGUUUAGAGGGUGAGGGUUUGGAAAGGUUCACUAAGGCUGUAGAUACAGUUCACAACUACAUGACGAAGAAGAUCCUGGGUACUCUAAGGAAAGAGGACACAGAAUUCAUGGAGAGUCUACAAGGUAAGGAGGAAGAGGUGUGUGAGAAUUCCCUGCCCCCCUCACCUGUCCCCCACACCGUGUCUCCCCCGGCCUCACCGAUGUCCAGUGUCGACAGUGGAGACAGUCUUAUAUUUCUAGGCUCAGAGGAACCGGAUCCAGAAAUCACUAAAAUAUAUGAGAAGAUUAAAGAGAGAAAGAGAGUCUUGUGAAGUUUUUAAAAUCCAGUGAAGUAAAGCAAUAUCUGCUAGAUAUCCUCAGGGAGAAGAAGAAGAGUGAGAAACACACCACCUACAGAUAUGGCCUAUCUAAGGCGAGGGACGGCCUUAAAAACCCGGGGUUUGGACCAAUCGCUGACGAAGAACAGCAUGAUGACAUUUUGAACACCAUGUUGGCCUGGUACAAACAGGAGACAAAGGUUGCUAGUGAUGAGUUCCCUGACUGGAACUAUGUCCUGGAUGUUUGGAUACCAGAGGCCAUAGUGUAUGCCUUAAUAAAGUUGAAGAAGUACACUCGUAAGAAGGCAUGGCAGCGGUUUGAGAAAGGUGUGUACAUAACAAAGAAAGAAAGGGCCGAGGUCCACAAGUCGAUACUGGAGAGUGCUAAAAGAAUAUCACCCGAGGACGUACAGAGAUACGAGGAGAAUCUAAAGGACAGGAUGAACGUCAUCUGUCAACGGAGCGGACUUCAGAAUAUCAUAUUAUGAUUGCCAUCUAAAGGACAGGAUGAACGUCAUCUGUCAAUGGAGUGGACUUCAGAAUAUCACAUUAUGAUUACGAUUUACAGGACAG